AAUAUGUGUAGUUUUACACUAUUUAUGUUCAACGUUUGACCGUUCGUCUUAUUUGAAAAAAAAAUUAUGAUUAGUAUUUUUAUUGCUAUUAGAUGAUAAAACAUGAAUAAUACUUUAUGUGUGACUAAAUAUUUUGAAAUUUUUUUAAAAAAUUUUAAAUAAGACGGACGGUCAAACGUUGGGCACGGAUAUCCACGGCUGUAUUUGUU
rnacentral:pre_miRNA from 1 species